rnacentral:rRNA from 1 species
GGAAUUUAGCUUUCGUACGUGACCUGCGGAAGGAUCAUUACAGAGUUCAUGCCCGAAAGGGUAGACCUCCCACCCUUGUGUAUUAUUACUUUGUUGCUUUGGCGAGCUGCCUUCGGGCCUUGUAUGCUCGCCAGAGAAUACCAAAACUCUUUUUAUUAAUGUCGUCUGAGUACUAUAUAAUAGUUAAAACUUUCAACAACGGAUCUCUUGGUUCUGGCAUCGAUGAAGAACGCAGCGAAAUGCGAUAAGUAAUGUGAAUUGCAGAAUUCAGUGAAUCAUCGAAUCUUUGAACGCACAUUGCGCCCCUUGGUAUUCCGGGGGGCAUGCCUGUUCGAGCGUCAUUUCAACCCUCAAGCUUAGCUUGGUAUUGAGUCUAUGUCAGUAAUGGCAGGCUCUAAAAUCAGUGGCGGCGCCGCUGGGUCCUGAACGUAGUAAUAUCUCUCGUUACAGGUUCUCGGUGUGCUUCUGCCAAAACCCAAAUUUUUCUAUGGUUGACCUCGGAUCAGGUAGGGAUACCCGCUGAACUUAAGCAUAUCAAUAGGCGGAGGAAUA